rnacentral:rRNA from 1 species
UGGGGAAUAUUGCGCAAUGGGCGAAAGCCUGACGCAGCGACGCCGCGUGAGGGAUGAAGGUUUUCGGAUCGUAAACCUCUGUCAGAAGGGAAGAAACCGCACUGUGCUAAUCAGCAGUGCCUUGACGGUACCUUCAAAGGAAGCACCGGCUAACUCCGUGCCAGCAGCCGCGGUAAUACGGAGGGUGCAAGCGUUAAUCGGAAUUACUGGGCGUAAAGCGCACGUAGGCUGCUUUGUAAGUCAGGGGUGAAAUCCCACGGCUCAACCGUGGAACUGCCUUUGAUACUGCUUAGCUUGAAUCCGGGAGAGGGUGGCGGAAUUCCAGGUGUAGGAGUGAAAUCCGUAGAUAUCUGGAGGAACAUCAGUGGCGAAGGCGGCCACCUGGACCGGUAUCGACGCUGAGGUGCGAAAGCGUGGGGAGCAAACAGG